GCAAACAGUCUUUCAAAUUUGCAAAGCUAAUGAGGAAAAUUCCAAAUGAGUAACUUAGGAAGUCACUAAAAGAGGAACGCUUCACGUAGUUUACCUGUAAAUUAAACGAGUAGCCCUCACUUCGUUCAACCCUGAAUGAUCCACUAUUGCUGAAUAUAAGGCGCGGCAAAUUGCGCGAGAAAUUAAAAAAGUCCGCUAUAUAAAUAACUGAAGUGAUUUAUACUGCACAAUACAAGCCUGCGAUAUAUGACAUGAGUGGAUUGCGGUUGGAUAAAAAAAGUUGUGUCGAAAAUAAAAAGUUGUGUUGAAAAUAGAAAAUUGUGUUGAAAAUAAAAAAUUGUGUUAAAAAUAAAAAGUUGUGUUGAAAAUAAAAAAUUGUGUUGAAAAUAAAAAGUUGAUUAUUGGCAGGGAUGGGACACCAUAAAGAACAACAGAACCGAAAAACAAAUUGUUCGCAAUGAACGAUAAAUUCGUUCUGCUCCUUUUGACAUACUGCAGCCUGUACUCUGUGUACAGGAUUCCAUGCACGAUUGUGGGAGAAUGGUUUAAUUAGGAUAAUUGAUAAUUGUAAGUUCUGUAAGCUUCGAAGUCGAUAUUGUUUCCCUCGUUAGUGAAAGCAGUCCUUAAACUGUGCUGCAUAUAAUAUUUAUCAUGCAUGUAUCGAAAAAAUGAUAUAACACUAGAACACAUUAGAAAUACGCAUAACGGACCACUUGGUGUGAUUAUAUCAUAGGCAGCCCAGCAGCGAUAAUAUCUGGAUUGUGUAAAUUAUUAUGUAUGCAGACUGGCAUGGUUACGUCAUUGUAUUGUCAUAUGGUAUAGUAUGCUAUAGUAGUAUAAUAUAGUGUAAUAUCAUAUAGGAUAUGAUACUAUAUGACAAUACAAUGACGUAACUAUACGAGUCUGCAUACAUAAUGGGGUACACACAGAUAACAAAGUCAUGUGAACUUUAUGCGCAUUUUUAAGUGUUUUUAAGGCAUUUUUAAAUGAGUACAUAUAUUUACUGGGCUGCCUAUGAUUAAAUCAGCUUUUUGCUUAUUUCCUUUUCUCUGC